GUCCAAAGUCCUUUGUUUCCUGUCACCUCCCUGGUGUGACUUUCACAGCUGCGUUCUGUGUGCCUGGGGACUGGGCUUGAGGUCCCCUGCAAAGAGAUAACCUCAUGAACUGAUGUCUCCAGCACCACUGCUCAGCGGGUGACAAAUGAGGACACGUCCCCACCAGGCUGCAGUUGCUGAACUCGGAGACUGCAUUGUCACAAACUCCCUGUGGCAGCCUCAGAUGCAGGGCAGCACCCAGAGACCCCUCUGGAGAUCCAUCUGGAAAGGGCACCAGAGAGCUUGCCCAAGGCUGGGAAUGGACCCAGCACAGCACCCACAGUGCCCAGCCUUCCCAGAGAGCUCAGAUCACUGAUUUUACAAAAGGUCAGGCUGUUGCUACAGGGGAUGUUUGCAGUGAUCCUGUGGAGGAGCCCAUGGGUGGCUCUGGCACAGAUGCGAACUGAAAGGAAAGCAUUUCAGCAGAAAUCAUGAGAAAUCAGCGUGCACAACCAGGCUGCCCCGUGCAUUUACAGGGUUAUUGACUUUCCAUGUGAAAAGGAGGUUCCACUGGCUUCUUUUACAGGAAGGAAAAGAUGGGAUCUGAUACUUAGUUUUGAGACAUCUCUGUUGGAAGCUGAUGGCUGGAGACCCUCAGUAGGACACGGAGAGCAAUGUGGCGACUAAAACUCAUGAAACAUUUUGGAGAGCUGGGACAAAAGGCCCCAAAUCUGUGUCUGUGCAGUGUUGUGUAGAGGCUGCAGAGCCCCCAAGAUCUCUUGGGGAGCUGUGUCUUUGCUUGAAGGGGCAGAGGUGGGGAGGCUCUCACUGCAGUGUUCUAGCUCAGAGCUGCUCCUGGGCUGGUGUUAAGAGCUUCCUGAAGGUUAUGGGCAUCCCUGCCCUGUGCAUUUACAGGGGUUAUUGACUUUCCAUGUGAAAAGGAGAUACCACUGGCUUCUUUUACAGACCCAUCCUCGAGCUUGCAGCUGGUCCUGUGUUGUUUCACUACAGGGAAACUCCAUCAGUGCCCUCCAGAGCUGUAGGGAACCACGGGGGCAGCUCCUGGAGAUGUUUGCUGUCAGUCUGUCUGUCUGUCUGCAGAGAGAGGGGCAGCCAGGCUGGCCAGGGAGCGGCAGUGCAGGAGCAGCAGGGAAGGGCCUCUGGGCAGACAUUUGGGUUUGGAGGAAACGCUGAGCCCACUGAAGGUGAGGCAGGGCAGGGGAAGCCUGAGCAGGUGUGAGACCCUCCAGGCUCACUCAGCACUGACAUCUCUGUGAGCUCUCUGCUGCUUUGGGCUCCUGACGGAUCCCAGCCAGGGAGAGGCAGCAAAGGCCACAGCCCCGCUGCUCAGACAUGCACCAAAAUCCCUGUGCUGGCUUCUCACCUCAGGACCCAGCCUUGCUGUCCUGUCCUGUGCACAGCAGGUCAAUUCCUCCUCCUGAAUCCUCCUGAGGAUACACCUGAUGUGUUCUGGAAUUUCUUGACUUCCCUGACUGAAGAAUUCAGGGUCACAAAGCCCCUCUUGCAGUCACAGUGAAUGGCAUCAUCCUUCAGCUGGGAUGAGAACACGACUGCAGGAGCACAAGCCCCACUUCUGGAUGAGAGAGCACAAAGGAAAUGGAACUUCCAAGAUGCAGUUGCCACAAGGAGAUUUGGAAAAUUGUCUUUCUGUCAUGUCUCUUUUCCUCACCAGGAGCUGAGGGCAUCCACGUUUGGUACCUUCCUCCACCGGAGUGGGUCCAAGUGGCUCGGGUGAAGGCAGGGAUGUUCCUGCACCUCCCAAGAGCCAUGGGCAGGGCUGAGAGAAACCUCUUCUGGUGGGGAAAACUUCAGUGCAGCUCAGCUGUGCCUGGGGCUCAAACAGCAAACACUCCUGGCCUGAAUGGAUUCGGGUCCAGAAGAUCCUUCAGCCCAAAAGUAGGCUACCAUGAACGAGUUAAAAUCCUUCCCUCUGCCUGGUGAAACUUAUUGAAAACUACAUCGUUCAUCUGUUGAAACUUCACAGCUGUUGAGAUUGCCCUGGGGGCAAACCACAUCCAAGAAAUGGCAUGUGGAGAUCCCGGAGCACGGGGCUUGAAAGCUGAACGGGGCUCUGGGCGCUGCCUCCCUCCCCUCGCAGCCCCAUCUGCAGCUCCUCAGUCACUCCGAGCGGGCUGCUCCUCCUCCCGCGGCUCCUCUCCCUCCUGCACCACCGGCGCUUGGUGGCAGGGGUUGAAUUUUGGCCAAAGAGCAGCGGAGCGAGGAUGCAGACAGCAGGAUGGGGCGUGGGGAGUGGCACACGGGGCUGCGUGCCACCAUCACCUGCCUGUGACACUGCUCCUUGUCAUCCCCGGGGGAGCAGCGGAAAUGCGCCAUUUGCUCAUGAAAAAUCUGUGACUUCUGUUCAGUGGUAGCAACUUGCCUGGUUUUUUGGG